ACUUAUUCCUGCGUCUUUUGCGAUCUUACAAAGCUUCAAACGACGUGUCGACUAUUAAAUUAGUCGUCGACGAUUUUGAUAGUCGACGUAAUCAUGACUAGUCGACUAAUCGUGGCAGCCCUAGAGGACAUCCACAUGUUACAGAUUUAUGAUGACUCUGAUGACCCAGAACUACUUACUGGAAGUCAGUUCAUUGACUUGAUGUUUGUUGGCUUUUGUUCCUACAGCAGUUUAUAAACUUUUAGUCUCAGAUGUUUUCCUCAUGUGGUUCUGUGGGUUUCACAAAGGCGGUUGUGGCGAACCGUCAGACACGUGCCUUCAUAGCAGAAACAAACAUUAAACCACAACCAUAAACAGCACAAGCAUCAUUCAGUGUUUCUCCACAGUUUGUACCACCAGCAGAUACAAGAAGUGGCUGACAUCCAGAAAUCCUACCAGUUGCCGGACAAAGCUGGACUGAAAGACAGCACAGAGGCACUAAUCAUGGCAGCACAGGAACAAAUAAUCAUCACAUCCUUUAGAAUCAAAGACACGUCUCCAUCCUUCAUCUGUCUGUCCUGAAGAUCCACCCGGUUCUUAAAAGAUGGAUGCUGGUCAUCUGGAUCAAAGUGCUCAUCCCGGUAAACAAGAACAAAUUCAUCUCCAAGGUCAGAGUGACGUCCUGUCCAGACUCAGCUGUGAUGAUUUUCUGGUCUGAAAGAGGAAACAACACAGAGCAGAGAGGUUAAAGGUCAAACUACAACUGUUCACUUCUACAGUGCUUUGCCUGUAAUGUUAUAUACCAUAUUAUGAAGGUGGUGUCAUAAAAAAGUGGAGAAAAAUGCUGUCGAGAAAAAUAGAGUUUAGUUGGCGAACUGUAUGUAACACCUCACUACAUCCACUAUGUACCUUUAUGUGCUGUGUAACCCAGUGAGUUUACACGACUCAGAAAUGCACUACAACAUUGUUAUUGUUAAUUUUGAUUCAUCAUUACUCUGUUAAUCACAGAGUUGAGCUAAAGUAAAUCAAUAAUAAAAGAUAAAUAAUAUAAAUAUAAAAAUAAAACCCCAAAGAAUAUAUUUAACACCCCCUACUGGUUAGGAGGUAACAAGCCCCGCCUUCCCCUGCUCUGUACCGUCACAUGUGCACGAGACCGUCGCUGAUUUUCACUGCCAAGCUUGUUGCUGGAAAAUAACCAUAAACUUGAUAAAUUGAGCAAAUAUCCAUACCGGAGAUCUGCAUGGACCUUGGAGAACCGGAUCUGAUUUGUUGUGAACAUUUUGGACUUUGAAACCAUCGCGGUGAGUCGGAAGCUGUUAAGCUAACCUUGAAGCUAAAAAGCUAACAAGAAGUUAACAGGGAAUAUAAUGGCCCAAUUUCAAUGUUGUAGAUCUGCACGGGUGCGGAUGAAGCGGACAAGAUCCUCUUUGAGAGUUGAACAUUAGAAGCGUGCUGGCUAGGUUUUUUUGUGGGAUCGUGAGACCUGGAUUUCUUUCUGACGAGGAAGAUGGCGAGCCUUUCCCUUUGAAACGAACCACAGCCAUUCCGAGUUGGCCCAGAAGGGCAGGUUGCUCUUCUCUCACGAACAAUUGCAACAGUGCGGUAGGACGAAAUCGCACCAAUCACAGACUUUUGACGUAUUGGAUUUGACUUGACUGAACACUGACUAUUAAGCCGGUAAGACUGACAUAUCUGAGCUCAGAUAGGAUUCUGAUUUUUAUUAUUAUUGCUGUCACUGUAUUUUAUUUCAUGUUUUCAUUCCUGUUUAUGAAGUGCUGUUAACUUGUUGCUAAAUAGUUCAAUACAAUUCAAAGCAACUGUACCUGUGGCUCCAGUCAUUCUUCUCCACGCAACUCACCUUAUCCCUCCUACGAAUCUAGCUAUUGGCCCCCUCUCUUCAUCUUACUUUAACUUCCCCUACCCUAUCCUGUACUUGGCUACAGCUGCAUUCAUUAAAGAGGCACUUGUUUAUUACUGACCACCAUUACACAUAGUGAGAACACACACGCACUAAAUGUGUGUAUGUAACAAGCAGCCUCUCAUUAUAAGACACUGUGAGUCUCUGCAUGCUGCCUUUAUGGAGCUACAGCUGUUUGUAUACACUGAACAAAAAGCUUUGUAGCUGUAUACUGACUCCUGACACUACAACACAUCACACUGACACACACAUUACACUUCUUUGUCUCUGUCACAGCUGGAUUACAGAUGUUAAGUGUCCACCCAGCCUCGUGUCUCCUUCACAUAAAACCCCAUUCACAUUUACAGAAAGUCAUUACAUCAUAAUCACAGUUUAAUCUCUGUGUGCAAAGACACCAACAAACAUCGAAGUGUAGCAGAGUGAUGCAGUUAAAGCAGACAUUUCUGUGUUGUUCUUAUGGCUGAUCUGACAGUUUUAUUAUUAUUUCACUAGCAGGGACCACUCCCUUGGUAACGAUGAGCAAUGAGGGAUGAGGAAGUGUAAUUAGUGCUGCGGGUUUGGGGAAGGCCUUGAAGGGGACUGGCGAUGGCUCUCGGGCCGGGCAGAACCACCAAAGACGACAUCCCCUGCAGGAGCAAAGACUGGGCAUAACGGAGGUUUUGGAGAAUGUUGUGAAUAUAUACCAGGUAGGCUUGUGAUGACCAUCGACCCAGGAGCUUGAUUGAGUCGUCAGGGAUCCCGGAAGACAAGGGCGCUUGGCGAAAGUGUGAGAGGGGCUAUGUCCUGAUUGGGGCGUGGCCAGAUUCGGUGAUGAACAGAGGAUCUGAAGGUAAGGUGUGCUGAGAUUUUUGAGGUUGAGGUAAAGGGUUAGUGAUCCGAAGGGUCUUAAAGGAGAGUUUAUUUUGAAGUAGUAUGUAGGCGUGGUGCUGCACGAUUGAUUGGUUUGCUACGUUUGAGGAUGAAAAUGGAGCAGUCUUUGGAAACUGGGUGGAUGGCACUCAUGCACAGGUGAAGAGUCGGAUGGAACUUCAAGGAUGAGGAGGUGAAUUUGGAACAGCGUAAGCCCAAGAGCCGAGCAAGAACAUGGCUUCAAGUGUGCAUGCCAGGAAGUAGUCACUAUACUUCAGCCGGAGGGUAGAGAUGCAGCGAUGCAGAAGAUCUGAAGUUAGGGGUAAGCGGUGUAGGGUCGUAGCAGGUGACGAACGCUGGAGACUAUUGAUGAGUAGUGAUAUCUGGAAUGACGUAAUGGUUGGGCAUGGUGAACCUGCGAGCAGUUUGGCAAGGAAAUUGAUGCCGCUUUAUGGAGGGAAUUUUGAUGCUCUGGAACCGGAAGGCAUGGAUAUGAAGCUGGAAACUGUUGCGAUGUCGAAUGAUGGGAAGGGCAGGUUGGAGUUUUGAUGCAAUGAACGGAAGAUUGCUAUGAGGCUAUUUAAAAUCGCUUCUUGGGAGAUGCUGAUGAGUUGUGCGAUGCUAGGGUUUAGAUCUCGAAUGUCGUGGCUGAAAAUGGAGGAACUGGGGUCGGAGCUGCCUCUGCGUGGGGCGCCAAGGCUCUGAAUGUCUGGAGGGAGAGACGAGAUAGGGAGUCGGAAAUGGAAUUGAAGUGGCCUGGAAUGUGUUCUGCUCUGAAUACUGUUUCUCUCAGAGUCGUGUAUAACGACAGGUUCACUUCACAUUUGUGUGAAUAUAAAAGGUCAGAAUACAUUUCUCGUUUAACAUACUGAUCAAAGUUGUGGUUUGAUUUACAUUUUUAAGGAAGAAUAAAGAAUAAAGUUACUGUUAGCACAAGCACACAAAGAAAGCAGAGCUUUAGCUCUCUACAUCACUUUUAAGCCUGGAUAUUGAGCCUUUUGCUUCCUCUCAGCUGUGAUGACAGUCUCUGUGUGUCCAUCUCAUCCAACAUCAUCCAUCUGACAUAAUACCCACCAACUGACAGACUAAAGAUAAAAUCUUAAAUUCAUUUUGCAUCACUUACAUUUAAAAUACAUUUAAGGUGGAUUUCUUAAAAGCGAAGUGACUGACCUGACUGUUGUGUCAAGUGUUAGGAAUAAAAGAAAUAUUUUAAUGUGUAUCUGCUCAUUAUAUUGUUUUAUGUACUUUAAUCAUGAAGGCUUGUAGAGCAAGGCCAACAAGUGCUCAGAACAACAAGUGCUCAGCCAGACUGAAAAAAAGGAAGUUUUAGUGCACAAGGCAUAUUAAUAAAUCAAGACACAGAAAAGAGGAACUUUCCGUGUAAACAAUGUUCAAGCCUGUGUGACGUGUAAAGUACCGAAAUAAUACCAUAUAAGAAACAGCUUAUGAUUCUGAUGUUAGAGAGCUCUUGCAACCGGCGUUUGAGCUGUGCAGAGGUCUCUCUCUUCCGGAAGAUGAUUAAAGAAAUAUAACUGUUUUAACACACUAUGAGUCGGUUUUCCCUGUUUUGUCAUGGGGAAAAAAGAAUCGGGCUUAAUACAAGACAGGUGUGAAAUGGGAGUUAAAUCAGGUUUUAUACUAAGGAUGUGUUUACUUUUGGUCUGUAAUACGUUUAGUUUAUUAUCUAAGGGUUAACAUAGCAAAUCCUCCAUCCAGAGGCUAAAAUGAUAUCAGAGCUAGACUACUUUAAGUGAAAGCCUGAGCCUUAAAUUAAACAAGGUUAAAAAGAAAUGCUGCUAUCUACAGUGUGAGGCACUGAGCUCUAUUAUACCAGCUGUUUGUUGCUGUUCUUUUUUUUAAUUUUCUUGGGUAUUAUUACCUUCCUGUUACUUCAUAAUGGAAUGACAGUUAAUGGUAAAAGUCUUGAAUAGUUUUGAAUAAAAAAAUAAGAGAAAUUAUAUUUAUUUUUCCAUGAUCCUACAUUUCAUUCAAUCACUCGUGGACUUGUAUGAACGUUACAUGUAUUAUUUUCACCUGUGGAUUUACAGACGCUUUGUGAACACAGUUGUCAUUUUAUCCAAAGGCAACGUUUUAUUUGAUGUCCAUUGAUUCAAGGUGAACACAAACUAUUUCUCAUAAAAUCACUGACAGACAACAGAAACAGGAGCUCUGAGAGAAAUUCAAUUCAACUUUAUUUAUACAGCACCAAUUUACAACAACAUUUGGUUUUAUUUUACAGAAAGUUAAAACCAAACCCAAUUCUGGAUGUGUUUGAAACCUGCAGCUGAUCCCUGUCUGCUGUUCACUACCUUUGAUUUCUAUCUGUUACCAGCAUCACUGACGAUGCUGAAAUCACCAGCGGGAGACCAAGAAUCAAGAAAACAACGGCAGCAGCAACAAGAAGCACAGCAGGAACUGACAGGCUGACUUUCAGUCCAACAGAUCCUCCUGUCUGACCUGCAGGUGAAAGAUAUUGGGAACAGCAGAGCAGAGUGCAGGCUCAGCCACAAACCUGCCCACGGUGCAGUUGGAGGAGUGCCUGACCCUGGGGUGUCUGGUCCCAAACCAUCAACCACAACUGCUGCAGCAUCUACUAGUAGUGCAAGUAUAACCCAUCAAAGCCUUAAAUCCCACGUACACUCUACCCAGCAGAAAAACACUGUCCGUAACAAUGAUCCUAAAUCUAUAGACACAGAACGUGCAUUAUGGCAAGACUGGGUGAAAAAAGCUCCACCAGUGUUUCUGACAAUUGACUGCUGGACCUCUAGAUCUUCCACUUUAUUGAAAAUUACAAGAUGGCCUCUUAGCUGAUGGACAGACACACUGCAGAAAACUUGGUAGAAGAGCUAAUAAGAGUUUUAUUGUUUUCAAGAAUUAAAAAUUAUGAAGUGGACUCACCACCCAUGUCUGUUGCAUACAUUAAACCUGAUGAUAAGAGAUUAGCUGUGCUGUCUGCACCAUCCUGCAACCUUAUGAGGUGACUGUGGAGAUAAAUGCAGAUACGUAACUAAGACAGUUGCUUUUCUUUAUUACUAUUCAGUCAUGAACAGCAAAAACAACACAUAUGAUUGACUAAACUGAAUUGCAAAAAGCUGUACGCCACAUAAUAAUAAUGAUGAUAAUAAUAAUAAUAAUAACAAAUUCUAAAAGUUGCACUUUUCUCUCCUUCAGCUAUGUCACAGCCUCCAAAGUGCUCCUGCUUUGCAAAGGUCUUCAGUGAGUCACAGCCCAACACCAACUGACAGUAACUGUGCAGAAAGUAAAGGAAGUGGCUGCAGCUCUUUGUUCAGCCAUGGACUGAAAAUUUCUGUGUGUGGAGUUCAACACCGUCCUCUCAGAAACUGGAUUACUGGAUGGUAGGUUUAAAAAGCUUGCAUUCAGUGACAACAGAGCUGUUGAUGAGGCACUUCAGAGAAUAACUGCCACAGCAGCAAAGUGCACUCCCACCCAGCUCCACCAUUACAGGGCCAAGUGAAGCAGGAGCCACAAACGUCUGCUGUGUGGAGCCUCUUUGAUGAAAGAGCUACAGGAGAUGCUGCAAAGAGAAAUACUACAGCUGAUGUUAUGAUGGAGAUGAAAUGUUAUCUUGAGGAGCUCCUCAUCCAACAUGGAGAAGGCCCACGGAGCUGGUGGCAGGCCGAGGCCACAGUCUUUCCAUACCUGUUGAAGGUGAUGGAGGGGAGACUGUGCAUUGUGGCAACAUCUGUUCCUUCGGAGAGUCUUCUCAAAAACAGGGCGGAGACUAAGGAGAAACCACAUCAGCCCAUCCAAGCUGAGGGAUUUGAUUUUUCUGUAUGUCAACCUGCACUGAGGACAAACUGUUUGGCUGCUGAGUUUGUUUCUGUUUCUGUUCUGUGGAUUUGUUUACAGAGCAGGUUUGAUUAAUUAUUAAGGUUUGAUUAAAAUAUUAAACAACAGUAAGAAGCCCUGCUUUUGUAACAGAACAAAAGCACAAAAUUAGGCAAUUAAAAGGCUUUUCAUAAAAACACUACAUGCAAAAGGGUUUAUCAACACACAAAGCACUCACAUUUGCCAAGUAAAGCUAAAGUAUGAGGCUACAGAUGAUUAUAAAUUAAGAGCCAUUUGGGAGCCACAAGACAUGCAAGAUAAUCCAGAGCUUAGAUCUAAAUAAGGA